rnacentral:rRNA from 1 species
AGUGAACGCUGGCGGUAGGCCUAACACAUGCAAGUCGAACGGCAGCACAGUAAGAGCUUGCUCUUACGGGUGGCGAGUGGCGGACGGGUGAGGAAUACAUCGGAAUCUACUUUUUCGUGGGGGAUAACGUAGGGAAACUUACGCUAAUACCGCAUACGACCUACGGGUGAAAGCAGGGGAUCUUCGGACCUUGCGCGAUUGAAUGAGCCGAUGUCGGAUUAGCUAGUUGGCGGGGUAAAGGCCCACCAAGGCGACGAUCCGUAGCUGGUCUGAGAGGAUGAUCGGCCACACGGGAACUGAGACACGGUCCAGACGCCUACGGGAGGCAGCAGUGGGGAAUAUUGGACAAUGGGCGCGAGCCUGAUCCAGCCAUACCGCGUGGGUGAAGAAGGCCUUCGGGUUGUAAAGCCCUUUUGUUGGGAAAGAAAAGCAGCAGGUUAAUACCCCGCUGUUCUGACGGUACCCAAAGAAUAAGCACCGGCUAACUUCGUG